GAACUUGCAAGUGAUUUAUAAAUUAUCAGGAGGCGAUGAGUAGGACCAUGCAAGUCCACUAUAUUCCUGUCAUUGCGUUUUCAUAGGCCGAUUUAUUUUUAGACCGAAUUUCCCUGGAA